CCUACUGGAGGCAUCAUUGAGGCAUCUUGGUCAAUGGCCGGAAGGCUGAACCAGCCAUGCCGCGUGAAGUUCCUUUCCCUAUGGUCUUUCCCCUUCUUUUCUCGGUUCCUCCCGGUCUCCCCGUGUGGCUCUUUGCAUGUCCCCUAUGAAUAAGCAUCGGCUAACUCCGUGCCAGCCGCCGCGGUACUCCGGCGGCUGCGCGCGUUCUCCGGCUUUCUUGGUUUUCCCGGGUGCGUAGGUUGUGGUUUCAGUCAGCUGUGAAAGUUUGUGGCUCAACCAUAAAAUUGCCGUUGCACCUGGAAGACUUGAGUGUGUUUGAGGUAGGCGGAAUGCGUGGUGUAGCGGUGAAAUGCAUAGAUAUCACGCAGAACUCCGAUUGCGAAGGCAGCUUACUAAGCCAUAACUGACACUGAAGCACGAAAGCGUGGGGAUCAAACAGGAUUAGAGACCCGAGUAGUC
rnacentral:rRNA from 1 species